rnacentral:lncRNA from 1 species
GAACUUUAGUCAAAUUGACCAAAGUGCGAGAAUGGUGCACUUCGGAAAGUCCGAAGGUGUUAAAAUGAUCAAAAGUGAGUUACGGGAGGUUUUCGAGAGCUAGAGAAUCAAAUUCUGCAAAACUGCAGUUUUUGAGCUCUCGGGGACCGGUCCCUGGUGGGAGAGACCGGUCCCCGAACGCGUGCAGAAUGAGAUAGCCGAAAAAUCGGCUAAGUCCUGGAAGGACAGCUCUCGGGAACCGGUCUCUGUCUGAGAGACCGGUCCCCCAGAGACCGGUCCCCCUAGGAGAGACCGGAUGCAUCGCGCGCAGCAGCUCUGGCCGCGCUGGGAGAGCUCUCGGAGACCGGUCCCUAGUCGGGGAGACUGGUCCCCGAGCCCGAAAACUGCCCAGUCCAGGCAGUUGAAAUAGAUGAAAGUUGAGGGGUUAUUAGCAUUUUUGCAACCCAAGAGUUAUGUUGGGGCUGAGAGAGAGAGCCUUCAUCUCUCAUUCCACUCCCUCUCACACUCUCUCCUCUCUUUCUCUCUCUAGAAGACAAAGAAGGAGAAGAAGAAGAAGGAAAGAAAGGAAGACAAAGAAGGAGAAGAAGGUGAAGAAGAAGCUUUUGGAGCAAAGGAGCCUCAUCUUCUUCCUCUCUAGGGCAAGAAAGGAAAGCUUACAAGGUAAGCUUUGAUCUAUAUUGUAGAAAAACCCUAGAAUGAGUUUUGAAUAACCUAGAAAUGGGUUUUAAUGGGAUAUUUGAAGAGUUUUGAAGCUUUCUUUUGCUUCUUUAGAGAUCAAAUCCAUGGUUGAGCUCAAGGUGAGCUUCAACCCACCUCUAAUGGUGAAAUCCAAACUAGGGUUUUGGAAAGCCUAAGAAUGAUUCUAAUGGGCUAUUUAGAGUAUAAUGAAGCUACUUUUGCUUCCCAAUGAGAUCAAACCCUAGGUUUUGAUAUACAUUGGAGCUAGGGCAACCCAAAUUGGGGCUUUUGCUCAUGAAGGUUUCUAAGUGCAAUUGACCCUCUAAAAACCUAAUUGGGGGUAUUUCCGACGCGUUGGUGCGCUCGGAAUAGCAUUUCGAAAAGUGUAUGAAAAGUUAUGGGCAAAAUGGCCUAAUAAGGGUUCGUUUUGCCGCAGGUAAAGAACGAGGCAUCUAAAAAUUCUAAGAAAAUCAUCGGAGCACCUAAAGAGACCUACAAGUGGGUGGUGCCUUUCAAACUCAUUGAAAUUCUCUCUAUGCCUAAUGUGUCAUUCUUUGAGCAUAUGUUCUAUAUAUUGUUGCAUGCAUUUUAGGUAAAGUAAUGAUGAAAUGUGAUGAUUGCAUGAUUGUGAGCACAACUUGCAUAAUGAGAUGGUUGAGAACCUAAUAAUGUAAAAACCCUAGAUGUAUGCAUGAGAGAAGAUGUGAGUACCCAAAGUGAGCAAAAGAACAGAGUGGCACAAUGACAUAGAUCGAGUGGCAUUCAAUAAAGCUAAUGUGAAAUGACACUAGAGUUAGUGUGAUGUAAAGAAUUAAAGUGAUGUAAAGAAUGAUGAAAAUAACGACGAGUAAAGCUAAAGUAAAGUGGGCAAUAAGAACAAGAAUGCUAGAGUUAGCAAAAGUAAAAGAAAUGCAAAGAACAAUAAUUGCUAGAGUUAGCAAGAGUAAUGAGAAUGUAAAGAAUGUGAUUGCAUGAGUUUGCAACAUAAAGUGAUGUAAAGAACACUAGAGCUAGUGUAAAGUCAAGAUUGAACUAUAAUCCUUUGAGUUAAGGAUAUGAUCAUACUUGCUGUUGAGUUCCGUGCUCGAGGGCGGUCGCUCCCCCUCGGGCGAUGCGCUCCGGAGUUAUGCAUCCGGGUUGGAGUAGACCCGAAAGGACGGUCCUAGCUGGUGAGUACCUGCGAUGAUGGACUUAACAUGAGGCAAGUUAAUGUGGCGAAACCCCCGGGUUAGCCUUAAUGAUUAAAGAGCAAUGAACAAAGAAUAAAGAACAAAGAGUAAAGUGAAAAGAACUAAAGAACAUGCAUAACCUGCAUCUAUUAAUGUUGAGCAUAUUCCUUGCUUUUGUUCAGGCAUAUUAGCAUCAUGUUAUAGAUUGGUUACCAUAUUUCAGCUUAUCCUUACUAUUAUGCCUGAGUUAGUCCUAGUGGGAAAGUCGGUGAUGUUGAGGCCGAACCCACUGGGAACUUUGUUGUAGUUCUCACCCCACUAUUUCCACAGAGCCGGGACCGAGCGAGCCGGCGAGCGACCGAGGUAAAGGUAUCGCGCCUUAGUCAGAGGCCACCAGAGUUGGGUUACAUUUUGUUAGUAGACACCCUUUUAUCAUCUUUUGUACUUGAUGAUUAGUGAUGUAAAGAAAAGAAUGCAAAGCUUAUUUUGAGGUAAAUGUGUUGUAAGAAAGAAAUGAUGAGAUUAUGUAAGAACAGCAAAGAAUCUUAAAUGUAAAAGAUGGAUGCAAUGUAUAUGAUCUAAAAUGAAUCAUAUUACUUGUGAAUGUUUAGUUUUCCUUUCUUUCACUGAUGGCUAUUGCUUACCCUCGCGUAAGCCGUUUGUGUAUGUUUCCGCUAGUGCUUUUCUCUAUUGAUGAAAAUGUACAUGUGAUGAGCCUUGGGCGGAUAGGGAAAACUCUGUCCGUCCGGCGUCUGUUUGACGCGCUCGGGUCGGGCCAAAUUGGCAGCGGUCCCGGGGCGUGACAGAUAGGUUGGUAUCAGAGCCAAUAGUGAAAGAAUAGGAAUGGACCUAGAGACCUAUAGGAUUGGAAGGCCUUAAGGAUCUAGGAAACGUGAGUGACGUGGGAUCAAGUUAGCGAAAGCAUGUGAUUGGGUUAAGUUGGAACGUCUCUAAUGUGAUUAGAGGCUAGGUUUAAUUUUCGUUUAUCCUCUACUUCUAGUGUUGUGUCGGGCGGCCGACGACAUGACGCUUGAGGCAAGGAUGAAUAUGCAUGUUGCUUUCGCCUAAUUGGGUAUGGUCAAGUAAUGUUGGUCAAGUGACUAAUGUGAGUUGCUUCUUUUCAGGAAGCAAUGGCACCUCGACGUCGAUCGCAGACAAGGUCGAUGCCGGAGGAAGCGAAUGCGGUGCCCGAGCAAUCCGGAGCAAGUGACGACGGAGAGCUCAGGGAGCAAAUGGCCGCGCUUAUUGGCGUAGUGCGGCAACAAGCGGAGUCUGUUCAACGCCAAGGGGAACAGAUUCAGCGCAUCUCCAGGAGACCUUGGAGCGCCAGCAGGCGGCGGCGGCCCAGGCGGACGACGAGCAUGUCGCGCCCCCUGCGGUAGUGCCGAGCGUGGACGAGGGAGCGGCGGCAGCGGCGGCUGUCCCAGUCACGGUAGUACCGGCCGGGUCGGGAACGUCGAAUCCCGAUAGCGCGGCAGUUGAAUGCGGAGCGAGAGCGCACUUUGGCGGCGCUUAUACAGUUCAAGAAGUUCGAUCCCACCUACCUUCGAGGGCGGUUUGGUGGAGCCGGCGGUUGUGGAGUCGUGGAUCGACUCGAUGGAGACCCUAUUCGAGGACCUUAAUACCUCGGAGAAGGAUAAAGUGUAUCCUCGCCACCCAUUAUCUAGGGAAGGCGUCGAAAGGUGUGGUGGAAGCGAGUUAAGCGGGAUCGACCUACCGAUCUCCCGCUCAUGCUUUGGGAAGAGUUCAAGAGAGCGGUGUUCGUGAACUACUUCCCCGACACGGUGAAGCGGAAGCUACAAGAAAAGUUUCCGCAAGUUGAGACAGGGUGAUCGAUCGGUGGGGGAGUAUGAGCAGGAAUUCUCCCACAUUAUUGACUUGCGUUCCCGACGUUGUUCGUGAUGAUCGGGACCGGGCGGAUUGGUUCUUGCGAGGACUUCAGCCCCGAAUUUAUGAAAAGGUGCAGAUUCUGAAGUUGUCGACCUUUGCGGAGGUCUUCGAUAGAGCCCUUUGUGGGCGGAGCACGGUAGCGCCCAUGUACGUGAAGAACGAGAAGCUAUUGCCGAGACCAAGGACAAGGACAAGAAGAGAACGGCGGGCUGGUGCCGGGGGCCGGCCAAAUGCUAAGAAACCCCCUCGGUAUCCCCGACAGCAGCGAGGAAUUGGAGACCGCCUCGAUGUGUUAUAUGUGGCGGUGAGCACAAGGUGUCGACUUGCCCGCAGCGAGACGGCAAAUGUUUCAAGUGCGGCCAACCGGGACACCUGUCAUCCGGGAGUGCCCGUUGUGGACGUCGUCUGCGCCGACGGCGACAUUCAGCACCGUCUACCCCGAGACAGCUUGCGGGGCUUACCACCAGCGAUGUCGGCUGGGCGCGCGUCAUCACCGCGUCAGCCGGAGGGAUCGAGAGCGCCUAGCGGCCGAGUCUUUGCAGCUCAGGUGGAGGAGCAACAACCUGCAGCACCCGACGACGUCGUGGCAGGUAUAAUUGUGAUUAAAGGCACUAGAGCUAGAGCAGUGUUUGAUACAGGCGCAUCUCAUUCAUUCAUUAGCACUUCAUUUGCUAAGACACAUGGCAUAGAGAUGGUGUACAAUGAGGAUUACUGGUGGGUGAACGCUCCAGAGCAUUCAUUCAGUGUCCAUAAUGAGUGUUUGGCGUGUCCAGUGCAAAUAGGCGAUUGGAUUAUGCCGAUUGAUCUGCUAGUGCUAGAUCAGAUGUGGGGAUUCGAUGUUAUCUUGGGGACCAACUGGCUCUCCAAGUACUAUGCGGUGAUAGAUUGUGAAAGUAAGGUGAUCACUUUUCGUGAGCCUAAUCAAGAGGAGUUAGUCUACCAAGCGUGCAAAAGUAGGCGCUUCGCGGCGACUAUAUCGUCAGUAAGGGCGAAGAAAAUGAUCAAAGGAGGGUGUAAGGCCUAUUUGGCAACCAUGGUGGAUGCUCGAAGGGAGUACCCAGACCUUGGGAAGAUAUCCGAGUAGUGUGCGAGUACCCGGAUGUGUUUCCGGCGGAGUUACCGGGACUGCCACCGGACCGGAAAGUUGAGUUUGUCAUUGACUUGAUUCCCGGGGCGGAACCAGUUUCGAAGGCUCCGUAUAGAAUGGCACCGGUGGAGUUAAAGGAGCUAAAAGGUCAACUACAAGACUUGCUCGAUAAAGGCUUCGUGAGACCGAGUGUGUCACCGUGGGGAGCUCCGGUGCUAUUUGUGAAGAAAAAGGAUGGCACACUUCGACUCUGCGUAGAUUAUCGCGAGUUAAACAAAGUAACGAUAAAGAACAAGUACCCGUUGCCAAGGAUUGAUGAUCUGUUCGAUCAGUUGCAAGGGUCCAAGGUGUAUUCGAAGAUUGAUCUCCAAUCGGGGUAUCAUCAAUUAAAGAUCAGGCCGAAAGAUGUGCACAAAACAGCGUACCGUACGCGGUAUGGCCAUUAUGAGUUUACGGUAAUGCCGUUUGGGCUUACCAAUGCCCCGGCAGCAUUUAUGGACUUGAUGAAUCGAGUCUUUAGACCGUUGUUGGAUCGAUGCGUCGUGGUGUUUAUUGACGACGUCUUGGUUUAUUCAAAGAGUGAGGAGGAGCACGAAGAGCAUCUGAGAGCGGUGUUGCAGAUACUCAGACAAGAGAAGCUCUAUGCAAAGUUAAAGAAGUGUGACUUCUGGCUAAAGGAGGUCACAUUCUUGGGUCAUGUGGUAUCGGGCGACGGAGUUUCGGUAGACCCGAAGAAAGUAGAGGCGAUCAAGGAUUGGCCUCGCCCGACGAGUGUAGCGGAGGUCCGCAGUUUUCUUGGACUGGCGGGCUACUACCGGCGGUUCGUGGAGGGGUUCGCCAAAAUAAUCACUCCACUAACGCGCCUCACGCAUAAAGGAGUAAAGUACGUGUGGAGCGACGAUUGCGAUCGAAGCUUCGAGGAGUUAAAGAACAGAUUGACGUCGACCCCGGUGCUUGCCUUGCCGACUCCGGGGGAGACCUUUGUAGUGUACAGUGAUGCCUCGUAUGUUGGUCUCGGGUGUGUAUUAAUGCAAAAUGGGCGAGUUAUUGCUUAUGCAUCGCGCCAAUUAAAGAGCUACGAGAAGAACUACCCGAUUCACGACCUCGAGUUAGCUGCGGUGAUUUUCGCGCUAAAGCUGUGGAGGCAUUACUUGUAUGGUGAACAUUGUGAGGUGUAUACCGAUCACAAGAGCCUGAAGUAUUUGUUCACCCAGAGGGAGUUGAACAUGCGACAGCGGCGGUGGUUAGAGUUGCUGAAGGACUAUGAUGUCACCAUAUUAUACCACCCGGGAAAAGCCAAUGUCGUGGCCGAUGCCUUGAGUAGAAAGUCGGCGGAGAACUUAGCGACGGCAAUUACGCCUCAACCGCUAUUACAAAAGGAAAUGCAACGAUUCGGGUUGGAAGUGGUAGCGCCGGGAGUGCCGGCUACACUUGCCACAUUGGUUGUGCAACCGACCCUGUUGGAAAGAAUCAAAGAGUUACAAACCUCGGAUCCUUAUCUCCAAAAGGUUCGAGAUGAUGUUGAGAACGGUAAAGCCGAAGACUUUGGCGUUGGAGCUGAUGGCGCACUUCGAUUCCGAGAUCGAUGGUGUGUGCCUAAAGAUGAUGAGUUGCGAGGGGCGAUCAUGCAGGAAGCACAUCAAUCUCCCUAUAGUAUACACCCCGGCGGCACUAAAAUGUACAAGGAUUUGAAAGAGCACUAUUGGUGGCCGGGUAUGAAAAGAGAUAUUGGGGAGUUCGUGGCGCAAUGUUUAACGUGCCAACAAGUUAAAGCUGAGCGCCGAUUUCCGGCGGGAAAGCUACAAAGUCUACCGAUACCCGUUUGGAAAUGGGAAAACAUAGCAAUGGACUUUGUUACAGGUUUGCCUCGAUCGCAAGGCGGACAUGAUGCGAUAUGGGUGAUAGUGGAUCGAUUGACAAAGUCGGCACACUUCUUGCCGAUACAUACUACGUGGUCGGGAGACAAGCUAGCGCAAGUUUAUCUCGACGAGGUUGUGAGACUUCAUGGGGUUCCAGUGUCGAUCGUGUCGGAUCGCGACCCCAGGUUCACAUCCCACUUUUGGAAAAGUUUGCAAGACGCGCUAGGCACGCGGCUCGAUUUUAGCACGGCGUUUCAUCCUCAGAGUGAUGGACAAUCAGAGCGAACGAUACAAAUCCUUGAGGAUUUACUUCGAGCGUGUGUGCUAGAUUACAAAGGAGGAUGGCAUGAUUUCUUGCCUAUGGCGGAGUUCGCCUACAAUAAUAGCUACCAAGAGAGCAUAGCAAUGGCGCCUUUUGAGGCACUAUAUGGACGUAAGUGUCGUUCUCCUAUUCAUUGGAGCGACGUGGGCGAGAAAGCGGCUCUUGGCCCGGAUGUAGUGCGGGAGGCGGAAGAGAAAGUUCGCCUUGCCCGUCAACGGUUGGCGAUGGCGCAAUCUCGGCAAAAGAGUUAUGCCGACAAGCGAAGAAAGGAUUUAGAGUUCGCGGUUGGAGACCGUGUAUUCUUGAGAGUAUCGCCGAUGCGAGGAGUUAAACGAUUUGGGGUCCGUGGGAAGCUAAGUCCCCGAUAUGUCGGACCAUUUGAGAUAUUAGAGCGUGUGGGUGCGGUGGCGUAUAAGCUCGCAUUACCACCGAGACUCGCGGGAGUUCAUAAUGUAUUUCUUGUGUCGAAUCUUCGAAAGUAUAUCCGAAACCCGACACAUGUAUUGGAGUAUGAGCCCGUGGAGCUACGUGAGGAUAUGACCUACGAGGAGUACCCGGUGUGCAUCCUCGAUAGAGAAGUGAAAAAGUUGCGAAGUCGCAAAAUCCCUUAUGUGAAAGUCCAGUGGAGCAACCAUGAUGUGCGAGAAGCCACUUGGGAGCUCGAGGAGUCAAUGCGGAAAGAAUAUCCGCAUCUAUUUGAGUCGACGAGUUAAGGUAUGCGUAAUUUCGCGGACGAAAUUAUUUUAAGGGGUGGAGAAUGUAAUAUACCGAAAAUUCGGAAAAUAAAUAUCGAACUUUAGUCAAAUUGACCAAAGUACGAGAAUGGUGCACUUCGGAAAGUCCGAAGGUGUUAAAAUGAUCGAAAGUGAGUUACGGGAGGUUUUCGAGAGCUAGAGAAUCAAAUUCUGCAAAACUGCAGUUUUUGAGCUCUCGGGGACCGGUCCCUGGUGGGAGAGACCGGUCCCCGAACGCGUGCAGAAUGAGACAGCCGAAAAAUCGGCUAAGUCCUGGAAGAUCAGCUCUCGGGAACCGGUCUCUGUCUGAGAGACCGGUCCCCCAGAGACCGGUCCCAUAAGGAGAGACCGGACCCAUCGCGCGCAGCUGCUCUGGCUGCGCUGGGAGAGCUCUCGGAGACCGGUCCCUAGUCGGGGAGACCGGUCCCCGAGCCCGAAAACUGCCCAGUCCAGGCAGUUGCAAUAGAUGAAAGUUGAGGGGUUUAUUAGCAUUUUUGCCACCCAAUGGUUAUGUAAGGGGGCUGAAAGGGCCUUUCUCUCAUUCCACUCCCUCUCACACUCUCUCCUCUCUUUCUCUCUCUAGAAGACAAAGAAGGAGAAGAAGAAGAAGGAGAAGAAGACAAAGAAGGAGAAGAAGGUGAAGAAGAAGCUUUUGGAGCAAAGGAGCCUCAUCUUCUUCCUCUCUAGGGCAAGAAAGGAAAGCUUACAAGGUAAGCUUUGAUCUAUAUUGUAGAAAAACCCUAGAAUGAGUUUUGAAUAACCUAGAAAUGGGUUUUAAUGGGAUAUUUGAAGAGUUUUGAAGCUUUCUUUU